rnacentral:lncRNA from 1 species
GGCGGCCAGGUGCCGGGGCGCGCGCCCGGGGCGCGGGGGGCGGAGCCCGGCAGGGGGUGCGGGUCCCGGCUCCGUCAGUGACUGCCCGGGGCUCGCGCGUGAGGGGAGCCGGGCAGACGCCCGCCCCCUUCAAAGCCUGAGGAGGCUGCGGGGACCGGGUGAGGGGCUGGAAAGGGCGUGAGGGGUGGGGGGCGCUCAGGCCCUGCCGCCUUCCCGGGAGCGGCGAGGGCACGGGGGCCAAGCCGACUCUCACGUCUGGGCUUCCUCGGGGUGCACAAAACCCGAGGGAGCGGACUGAGACGUGGUCCCCGGGAGGCGGCUGUCCCCCCUCGGGUGGCCGCGCGGGAGGGCAGAGGCCGGAGGGGAAGGGGCCGAGCCAAGUGGCCGAGUCUGACACGUCGAAGGAGAAGGAGCUCUCUUCUCUCCGACCCUUGGCCCUCCGCACCUGAGGAGGUUAGAAAAGGGGGGCGUCCGGGGAUGGCUGCCCUCCCCCGGGGGGCGCAGCACCCGUGGGCGGGGGAGGGGACGACGACGCCGGCCUUCUGGGCGGAACGGCAGCAUCUCUGCAGCCAAACUGGCUGUGGGCGCCCGAGUCUUUCUCUCUGCCCCACAGUUCCAAUCCGAAGCAAGGCGAUGAUGGUUCUCUCCCCCCAAAACCUCCUGCCUGGCUUGCAUUUUUUUUUUUUUUUCCGCCCUCUUUCUUCUUUCUCAUCUGAAGGGUUUUGCCUCCCACUCGAGAGAAAUCAAUUAAAAAAAAAAAAAAAAAAGAUGUGCUGGAUGCAUCCUUGGAUGGAGGAGGAGAGGAAUGACUCCCUCACCCUGCUACACACGCCCCCACGCCACCCCACAGCUCUGAAACGGCUUUUCUUUCUUCGGCAGCCGCACUCUGUUGCCAUUCCAGGCUUGUGUGGGAGAAGACUGCUGUGCGCCUGUGUCUGUCCGCCCGGGCGACUCCAGCCCUCGGUUAAUGAAAGUCUCAAACAGAGCGUCAAUGUCCUUAUCAACUGAGUGGUCUGAGGAGCUAUGCAGCUGGUGAGAGGUGCAGCCAUGGUAGAAAGUUAGGUCAAGCUGACUCCAAAGACUGAAUUUCUUCUUUAUGCCACACAGAGUCCCACUUCAUAACUGGGGCACGCUUAUCUUUCUAGUUAAAGUCAAUAAAUCAAUGUCUUAUAAAUUUGGUUGGUUGGCACAAGUCCACCCCUGAGAGAUCACACAUCUUUUGAUGUGCUGGCAACUAAGAGCUGGCUCUCACCCAGGAAUGGCCUGUGCAGAGCGUGGAUACUCUUUUCCCUGCAGUCUGACAGACCUUGCCCAUCAACUGAAGCACUCUUUUCUGUCAAACCUAGACAGUAGCCUCACAGUCCUCUUCAACGCUGGGCUGCAUGAAGCCACUGCUUUUACGUUUUGGACCACAGCAUUUGGGAUCCUAGUCCCCUGACCAGGGACCAAACCCAUGCCCUCUGCAUUGGAAGCUCAGUCUUAACCACUGACCACCAGGGAAGUCCUACUGUGUCUGGUCUAGAACCCGCCAGGGAGUUUUGGAAUGGAAUUUACAGCAAAGAUUGUAACAGAUAUUACUGUAUUCUGGUUAUUCUGAUAUUAUCUAAUGUAGUAUCUAAUAUAUCUGAAAUAUACCUAACAUAUUUCUAUAUUCAGAAUGUUGACAUUGCUGCUAUUCAAGAAAGUGUACGCUGGACUUCCCUGGUGGUCCAGUGGUUAAGACUUGGAGCUUCCAUUGCAGGGGGCAUGGAUUCUAUCCCUGGAUGGGGAACUAAAAUCCCACAUUCCACAUGGUGCAGCCAAAAAAAGAAAGAAAGUGUCCACAGGUAAAAGGCAAAUUUAUGAGUAUAAAUAAAGGGUGUGGCCAAAAGGUGAUGUCCCAGAAGAAGUACACUGUAAAAAUUUCACAUUAAAGGAACUCUCAAAGAUAUUUGACUGAAAGUGCAAAGGGUGAAAUAUUGAAAGCCGAUCUAAAGUUAGAAAGGGUGUGACAUUUGCUAAAGCACAGAAAAGAUUCCCUGAAGGGGGGCACUAUUCAAACUAUUUGAUACAAUUUUUACAAAGAGAUAAAACAUUUUAUCAGUGUUUCUGUUUUAAAUAAGGAAAUGGUGACCCACUCCAGUAUUCUUGCCUGGAGAAUCCCAUGGACGGAGGAGCCUGGUGGGCUACAGUCCACGGGGUCGAAAAGAGUCAGACACGACUGAGCGACUUAACUUUCUAACUAACUUUAACUUUUCUGUUUUAAAUAACAAUCUUUUAAAUAAGUAUUAGUUUUUCCAUUAAAAAAAAAUCAUUGUAUUGAAGUAUAAUUGAUUUACGAUGUGUUCAUUUCUGCGGUACAGCAAAGUGAUUCAGUUUUAUAUAUACUCUUUCUUAUGUUCUUUCCAUCACGGUUUAUUACAGUAUAUUCAAUACUUCCUUGCGUUAUACAGUAGGACCUUGUUAUUCGUCCAUUCUGUAUAAAAUAUUGGGUUGGCCUAAACGUUCAUUCAAGUUUUUCCGUAAGAUGUUACAUAAGAUGAAUGUUUCGGCCAGCUCAAUAAGGUUGCAUCUGGUAAUCCCAAACUCCCAAUCCAUCCCUCCCCGACCCCCCUUCCCCUCGAUAUCUGUGAGUCAUAUCUGUUUUGUAAGAUAUAGUCAUUUGUCUUGUAUUUCAGACUCUCCAUAUAAGUGAUAUCAUAUGGCGUUUGUCCUUCUCUUUCUGACUUACUUCACUUAGUAUGAUAAUCUCCAGGCCCAUCCAUGUUGCUGCAAAUGGCAUUAUUUCACUCUUCUUUAUGAUUGAGUAAUGUUCUAUUGUGUCUACUCAUUUGUUGAUGGACAUUUAGGUGUUGUACCUAGAUGGACGUUUAGGAAAUGUCUUGGCUGUUGUAAAUAGUGCUACUAUGAACAUAGAG